rnacentral:sRNA from 1 species
GUUGAGAUGAAGUAUACAUGAACCUGUUAUGUCAUGUCGGAAGGAAGGAUUGGAGAAU